CGACAGACCCACCAUGGGGACUCUCUGGUACUCUCGACAGAAAACAUGGGCACAUGAACAGACCCGGCGGUCUUAUCCUGAGUUUGUUGCCGAAUUUGAUCGAUUGACCCCAGAAGACAUUGUGUGGGAGCCAUACAGUCCUUCGGCUAUAGCCGCACCUGCGCCGCUUGGGAUAUCUUUGGUGUGCACACAGGACCAGGGCCUAUGGAUGUCUAUUGCAGCUUUGGUGUACGACGUUGCAGUUGAGGCCCACUGCCCGGAUAGAGUCAUGAGGCAGUUCGGUCGAUGCCAGUCUUUCCCUGUGUCUUUAGCGUUGGAUAGUGUUCAGUGCCACGAUCAUAGGUAACAAAAAUAUAUAAGUCCCCAUGUACUAAUAACGUGAAACUAAUUUCUAUUUAACGUGCAGUUUAUCAAGGGCUGAACAUCCUUUCUCGACAAUGUGGGUCACUAGAUUACAACCAUGGGUGGCUGCGUGGGAUGAUGCAGGCAAGCAGUUGGCUGAGGAUACCGGUCCACACACUGAGCUUUCGUUUCGGGCGUACCUGACCUGGUACGAACCGAAGACUCGUUGCCGUUAGACGUAUGUUGACAUGCAUCCACACCCGCAUGUUGCGACUUCACAGGAUCGCAAUGCACGACACAGGGAUGAGGCAUUAGCUGGGGCGUUCGAGGCCUGUAGGUUGCUUGAAUUAGAUUGCUCACUGAAUGUAAUGAAGAUUCAUGGCGGGUCUACGAUGAGCAUGCCGGCACAACUCGAGGCCUGGACCACUCAACGUGAUAGAGCCUGAGGCAUACUUCAGGCCUUUGGUACGCGGACGGAGUACGAGGAUUCCUACGGAUCGUCGCAAGCGUCGACGUCGGUUCCUUGUGGUCCCACAUGGCAUCAGCCUCCCUUAUACCACCGACAGUACGAAGGGUACGGGUACCCCGGUUCUCAGCCCUAUGGAGGGCCAGGUGCCUCGCAAGGGGCUCCAUUUCAAGGAACCCAGUUUACCUCUAUGCCACCAG